UAUGCCUGUACCAUAACCGACACAGGUGGGUAGGUAGAGUAUACUAAGGGGCGCGAGAUAACUCUCUCUAAGGAACUCGGCAAAAUGACUCCGUAACUUCGGGAGAAGGAGUGCCUUAUUUUUAAGGUUGCAAUAACAAGAUCCAAGCAACUGUUUAUCAAAAACACAGGUCUCCGCUAAGUCGUAAGACGAUGUAUGGGGGCUGACGCCUGCCCAGUGCCAGAAGGUUAAAGAAGUUGGUUAGCACUUGCGAAGCUGAUAACUGAAGCCCUGGUGAACGGCGGCCGUAACAAUAACGGUCCUAAGGUAGCGAAAUUCCUUGUCGGGUAAGUUCCGACCCGCACGAAAGGCGUAAUGAUUUGGAUACUGUCUCGGAGAGGGGCUCGGUGAAAUAGACUUGUCUGUGAAGAUGCGGACUACCUGCACCUGGACAGAAAGACCCUAUGAAGCUUUACUGUAACUUGAAAUUGAAAUUGGACUUUACUUGCGCAGUAUAGGUGGGAGGCGUUGAAUUUAUUCUUGCGGGAAUUUAGGAGCCAUCAGUGAGAUACCACUCUGGUAAUGUUAGAUUUCUAACUUUGAAUCAUGAUCUGGUCAAAGAACAGUUUCAGGCGGGCAGUUUGACUGGGGCGGUCGCCUCCCAAAUGGUAACGGAGGCGUACAAAGGUUUCCUCUGAACGUGUAGAAAUCGUAUCUAGAGUGUAAAGGCAUAAGGAAGCUUGACUGUGAGACCUACAAGUCGAGCAGGGACGAAAGUCGGUCUUAGUGAUCUGACGGUGCUGAGUGGAAAGGCCGUCACUCAACGGAUAAAAGUUACUCUAGGAUAACAGGCUGAUCUCCCCCAAGAGUUCACAUCGACGGGGAGGUUUGGCACCUCGAUGUCGGCUCAUCGCAUCCUGGGGCGGUAGUAUGUCCCAAGGGUUGGGCUGUUCGCCCAUGAAAGCGGUACGCGAGCUGGGUUCAGAACGUCGUGAGACAGUUCGGUCCAUAUCCGGUGUAGGCGUUAGAAUAUUGAGAGGAGCCUUCUUUAGUACGAGAGGACCGAGAAGGACAUACCUCUGGUGUACCAGUUAUCGUGCCAACGGUAAACGCUGGGUAGCUAUGUAUGGAGAGGAUAACCGCUGAAAGCAUCUAAGUGGGAAGCCCACCUCAAGAUAAGUAUUCUCAUCACAUAAGUGAGUAAGGUCACGGUAAGACUAACCGUUUAAUAGGCAUUAAGUAUAAAUAUAGUAAUAUAUGAGCUGAGAUGUGCUAACAGACCGAGGACUC
rnacentral:rRNA from 1 species